UCUUUUCCCCCGCGGAAUCUAGCAUAUCAAUAAGCGGASGRRRAGARACUAACAAGGAUUCCCCUAGUAACGGCGAGUGAAGCGGGAUGAGCUCAAAUUUGAAAUCUGGCGGUCUACGGCCCGUCCGAGUUGUAGUCUAGAGAAGUGUUUUCCGUGCUGGACCGUGUACAAGUCCCUUGGAAUAGGGCGUCGUAGAGGGUGAGAAUCCCGUCUCUGACACGGACUACCAGUGCUCUGUGAUGCACUCUCGAAGAGUCGAGUUGUUUGGGAAUGCAGCUCAAAAUGGGUGGUAAAUUCCAUCUAAAGCUAAAUAUUGGUGGAAGACCGAUAGCGAACAAGUACCGUGAGGGAAAGAUGAAAAGCACUUUGGAAAGAGAGUUAAACAGUACGUGAAAUUGUUGAAAGGGAAACGCUUGAAGUCAGUCGCGUCCUUCGAGAUUCAACUUGGCCUUGGCCUGGUGUAUUUCUUGUUGGACGGGCCAGCAUCAAUUUCGWCCACUGGAUAAAGGCAAGGGGAAUGUGGCACCUCCGGGUGUGUUAUAGCCCCUUGUUGUAUACAGUGGUUGGGAUUGAGGUCUGCAGCACGCCUUUAUUGGCCGGGGUUCGCCCACGUUACGUGCUUAGGAUGCUGGCGUAAUGGCUUUAAGCGACCCGUCUUGAAACACGGACCAAGGAGUCUAACAUGCCUGCGAGUAUUUGGGUGGAAAACCCUUAUGCGGAAUGAAAGUGAAAAGUUGGGAUCUCUGUCAUGGAGAGCACCAACGCCCGGACUUGAUGUUUACUGACGGUACCGAGGUAGAGCAUGUAUGUUGGGACCCGAAAGAUGGUGAACUAUGCCUGAGUAGGGUGAAGCCAGAGGAAACUCUGGUGGAGGCUCGUAGCGAUUCUGACGUGCAAAUCGAUCGUCGAACUUGGGUAUAGGGGCGAAAGACUAAUCGAACCAUCWAKKRGCUGGUUCCUGCGAGUCUCUCUCUCUCCGGGGAGAUAAAA
rnacentral:rRNA from 1 species